AUCCUCCUGUUCAGCUCCCUCGCGCGCGGCUUACUGAUGCCGGAGUGAUGUCAUAUUCUGGCUCCGGCAUCACUGCAGUGCUAGCGAGGGAGCUGGGCAGAGAGCGCUCAGG